rnacentral:pre_miRNA from 1 species
UUAACGCAAAUUUGUAUGGAGUUGGAACGUGUGCCUACGUUUGCCGUUAGGGGCGCUGUUCGAACUGCAUACAAAUUUGAGUUA